CUACGGGAUGCAGCAGUGAGGAAUAUUGCGCAAUGGGGGCAACCCUGACGCAGCGACGCCGCGUGGAUGAUGAAGGCCUUCGGGUCGUAAAAUCCUGUCAGAUGGAAAGAAGUGCGAGGUGGUUAAUACCCAUUUCGUUUGACGGUACCAUCAGAGGAAGCACCGGCUAACUCCGUGCCAGCAGCCGCGGUAAUACGGAGGGUGCAAGCGUUGUUCGGAAUUACUGGGCGUAAAGCGCGCGUAGGCGGUUUGUUAAGUCAGAUGUGAAAGCCCACGGCUCAACCGUGGACGUGCAUUUGAACUGGAAGCCUUGAGUAUUGGAGGGGGUGGUGGAAUUCCCGGUGUAGAGGUGAAAUUCGUAGAUAUCGGGAGGAAUACCGGUGGCGAAGGCGACCACCUGGCCAAAUACUGACGCUGAGGUGCGAAAGCGUGGGGAGCAAACAGGAUUAGAUACCCUAGUAGUC
rnacentral:rRNA from 1 species